GCGGUCGUCGUCCAGAGCAUCGAAGCGGAGAGCCUGGUCUAGGACACGAGCCCUCCAAGCUCGCGACCCGGGUUCAAAUCCCGGCGACCGCA
rnacentral:tRNA from 1 species